rnacentral:rRNA from 1 species
UCCGGCAGCUGCGGAGCAGACGCGGAUGGAUCUUGCAGUGGGCGACCGGAUGCAGCUCAGUCGGUGCCCGCGCAAGGCCCAGAUGGCUCGACAUCUAGCGCCAGGGAGAGAGAGACACCUCCGCCAACUUCACGCAUAUCGGUCAAGCAUGCGGUGAGUGUAAUCAAGACUUUUGAUGACUACAAGAGAUGGCUAGUAGGGCAAAUUGGAUUUGGAGGGAUGCUGAAGCUGCCGGACAUUCAGAAACUAAAUCUGAAGUGCAGCACGUGGAUAAUGAGCAGAGUGAGCGUCAGUCGCAGGGAGAUUAAGCUUAGGGAUAAUAAGGUUAUCAAGUUCUACGCCGAGGAUCUUUACAAGGUGUUUGGGAUCCCAUGUGGCCAUCGUAAUGUGAAAGGCAGAGAUGCGAACAUCAACCCUGAGGCAGUUCAUUUCAUAAAGACCACUUUGCAGAUGAACAAAACAGGCGUCCACAGCUUGCGGGCAGCCGAAGAUUUUCUGUUGCGGGACAUCAAUGAGAAUUCAAGCAAGCUAGAGAAAGAUUGUUUCCAGAUUUCCUUCGUUAUUUUUAUCAUGGGACAUGUGCUAGUGCCUACCACCAAGCAUAACUACACUAAUAUCGAUUUCUGGGGUGCAAUAGCAAACACCGAGUCGAUAGAUCAAUUCAAUUGGUGUGAGUAUGUUCUCCUGCAUCUGCUAGCUGCAGUGAAGGAGGUGAAGAGAGAUAUGAUGGCCAAUAGUUUGUCCACAAAUCUAACUGGUUGCCAUUUGUUCUUCCAGGCAAGUUAA